UGAUCAAUAUAUUGGGCUUUGUCUUGUAUUUGUUGAGUAGUCAUGUUAACUAUAAAGUUAGACGGAAAUCCAACUAUACGAAAGCAAGAUUUGGAGUUGGAGAAACAACUUGAGCUUAUUAAUAAGCCUCCUGUCAAGAGUAUUUAUACAGAGUUUGGCCGCAUUGUUAAUUGCAUUGACAUUUAUAAACAACCAGUAUUUGAUCAUCCUUUACUAAAGGACCAUAAGUUGCAGAGAAAACCCAACUUUCAAAAUGUGACUGGAGAGUCAAGACGGAAACAUUUAGGAACUAUAUCCAUGUUUGGAUUGGGUAAGGAUGAAUGUCCAAUGGGGACCGUUCCUAUACUGAGAACAACAAAAGAUGAUCUUAUUAGAGAAAAAUCAUUAUUUAACGAUCAUAUAUUGGUUCAAGACCUUCCUGGUGUUCAUCUUGCAGAAGUUUCCCUUAAACCACAUUUUGGUCCUUAUUAUGGAGUCGGAGGUACAAAUAGUAUUUAUAAUCCACGACUUGAUACCAAGCUUCAAAUCUCCAUGUCUCAUUUAUGGGUUCAAAAUGGUCCCAAAGAAUCCACUAACAAAAUCUCAUUAGGAUGACAUGUGGUUCCGCAACUAUAUGGUGAUUAUGCAUCCCAUCUUUAUGCCUCGUGGACGUCGGACAACUACAAGAAGACAGGAUGUUACAAUACUUGAUGUACAGGUUUUGUUCAAUCUAGCAAAGAAAUUUACCUUGGUGUACCCAUAGGCCCCACAUCUCAUUAUGGAGGACCAACUUAUGUGUCUAUCUUUUCUAUUUCUCAGGUCAUAAUCAUUGUAUUUAAUUUUCACUAUAAUAAAAAGAUAGAACUAGAUUUAACUCGUAUGUGAUUAAUAUGUUUUGAUUUCUUGAAUACACUUUUUUAACUGAAUUCGUAUAAUGAUAAAAAUACAUAUUUUAUGG